GGAGGAGACAGCAACGGCGUGGGGACUGGGCUGUGAGGAGGAGUGGACAGUGCAGGCGGGACUGGGGGUCACACGGGCCUGGUCAGAGUCACUUUCCCUGUCUGGGCCUCAGUUUGUAGAAUGGGGGUAACAGUGCUCUCCCCUGAGCUUUGGAAAACUAAGUGUUAUAUGCUGAUGAGCACCCCUCAGGGCGGAGGCUGUGCCCGCAGGAGUCUGUGGUGGGAAGAGGCUGGGAUGGAUUAGGACCAGAUGGGCAUCCAUGGAAGAGGCACUUGCCUCCGUGUGACUGGUGAGGAAAGUGAGUCCGGAGUCCUGGUGUGAUUUGUUAAAGGGGAGCACAGCAGGGUGAACAAGUGUAUCUGGGGGAGCUGGGUUAAAACUUUUCUGGCAUUUCUGUUGUCAUCCAGCUCCGACGACACCACACGGGGAACGCUGAGCAGCACUGCCCAUGGGAAGGGCCCUGGCCUCUGAAAGGUACCAGGGACGCACAUCUCUUGGCAGCUCUAGAAUGGGUCCGAAGCCAAACCAGGGACAGUCUCUCUACCCGUCUGUAUCAGAUGAGGACCAUUGGAUUAAAGUUGUGAAUUCUCUCUGGACGUCAAUAAAUAUGGAAAUGCCAUUGGGGAGGUAAGUAUCAACAAGUCAGACUGAUCCCAAAAGGGGACCUCUUAAAACUUUUGUGCAGCUGGCUGCCCCAAAACUCAGCCUGAAGGGACGAGUGGAAGGACAAGGUGUAGAAUACAAAAGCAUGGCAUGGCAUUUACUAAGCAUACCGUGUAUCAGGUCUAUAACCGUUUUACUGACAAGCACACAGGCCCAGCUAAGGCAAGCAACAUUUCGUAGGUAGAACAGCAUAGAAGUAGAGGAGCCAGGAUUUGAACCAGGCCUGCCUAGCUCUGAAGCUAGAUUUAUAAGCUUUCAACUCCAGGUCCAUGGGUCACGCUAAGUUGCCUCCUCUUAGACAGGCAGUUGGGUUCUGGCUCUGACUCUCCUAACUCUCUGAGAUUGAGCAGCCAGUGCCCCUAACUGUGCCUGGAUUUUCCUCUCUGUAAAGUAGCUGUAGACUUCGUAGGUCCCCCAGCCAUUUGCCUUUGUGGGGAAACUCUUUUCUCUGUGGCCACCAGAGGGCACUGUGGCCUCAAUGGCUUCAUCAGACCCGCCUUUGUAGCCUCAAGUCCAGUAGAAGGACAUAGGGAACUCUUAAAUCACCUCCUUUAUAACUGAGCACGCAUACACACAGAUCACCACCUUCCCCCCAUUUUACAGAUAAGUAGACUGCAACCAAAAGAAGGACCAUGGAUUUGGAAGAUGGAGUCCAGGCUGAGAAGGUGAGCACAGCCCUUAGCCCAGAAGUGUGACAUUCUGCUAAUAUUGAUUAAUUAAUUAACAGGGUCUUCCCUGCCCCAGUCCCCAGUUUGGGCUCUCAGACACAGACCUGGCACUUCUCCUUAAGAGCUUUUCAGUCUGUGGGAAAGAGAUAGACAGGCAGGCCCACCAUGACUACUAUUCCCAAACUCCAGGGAGCCCAGGGAAGCCCUGACUAGCAUGAUUUAGCACCUCUGACUAUAUGACAUCCUGAGAGAUGGGUGCAUCAUCCC
ensembl:lncRNA